CACCCGCCCUGGCACGCCAGCUGGCGAUGAUCGGACUGAACAGGGGCCGAUUACGCGCAGGUCGGGGACGCUACGGGGGCCGGUUGUCGGGGGACAGCCGGCCCCCACUUU
rfam:Xanthomonadaceae bacterium SCN 69-48 ABS98_C0048, whole genome shotgun sequence.